UUAAUUUGACUCAACGCGGGAAAUCUUACCGGGUCCGGACACACUGAGGAUUGACAGGCAAUAUCUCAUGGUUAUUAACCGGUUAAUGGUUAUUUAUUUAAUAGCCAGCGGUUAAUUAAGCAUCGAGUGUUAAAUAUGCUAGUCCUUUCAUGAUUAUGUGAUAGGUGGUGCAUGGCCGUUCUUAGUUCGUGGAGUGAUCUGUCUGCUUAAUUGCGUUUCACUAAGGGCCCAUAAAUUCAAGGUAUGUUACUAUCGUCGCUCUAUGGACCCCUUAUUCACUGCUUUAAUUAGUUUGUUUAAGCGCGCGUCUUUAUUUAAUGAGUUUAAGACACUGCGCAUGCUGUUGGGCUCUGAAAGCAACAACGUGACCGCAACGUCUUGUUGCCUUAAUAAAGUUGGCUUUAAAU
rnacentral:rRNA from 1 species